AAGCGUUGAUCGAAGUGUAGCGUUUGUCACUUGGCUUAACUUCUGUGAGUCAUUUGGUCGAACACUUACCGAACACAGGGGCAAAGACCACGGAGUUCUUCUGGCCUUCAUCAAGGAUGUGACGUCGACCGAAGAGUGUCUGUUAGUGGUCUGGGGGAGUGGCUACAAGUAGUCCUUGGAUCUGGUCGUUUCUUAUCGUUACCUCACAUCAAACGAAAAAUGAUUGCUGUCAUCAUGUGGACAAAGGUAGGAAGAUGGUAGCCUUGCGUUUACCAGUGAUUCAGAUCAAAGCGAACUGCCGAAGAUUUUCCAGCGCAAAGCAUCAUCUAACCGAGGCUGUAGAUAGAGAAGACGAUGCAUAGUUUGGUGGCAUCGACCUACCCAUCAUCCUUCCCACUCGAUUCCCUUCGCUGUUCCAGAUCUCACUACUUCCUACAAACGACAUCUUGCAGCCCUAAAGAGGUGAGUAAGAAAGGCCUUAAAGACACCUGGCCUUCUAUUUCCCUUACCCUCUUCGGCGCAGGCUUCUUCUUGGGUCCUCUUCUUGAUGGGCUACACUCGAGGGUGAAUCUUAUGAUCUACCAAAAUGGAGCAGUUGAUGUUGGCCCUCUGCACACCAAUAUCUGGGUUCCUCCUAUGCUCGGGGCAUUUUAUUGCACUGUGGGACUGUUGCAGCUGCUUUUGGAUGAAAAAACACCUUCAAAAUCGAAGCUUGGAGUAGGGAGUGUGGAGAAGACAGCAAUCUCACUGAUAACACUAGCAGCUUUCAUCGAAUUGAGUGCUGAACUGUACAAAGCUGGAGUGGCUGACAAUGUCGAAGCCUACACCUUGUUUGCACUGGCAGAGUUCAUAUGGGUUUUCCUGGAUGGCACAUGGCUUGGAUUUGCCUUGGCUUGCUUUGUUGGUGUUGCAUGCCCCCUAGCUGAGAUUCCAAUGAUCAAACUGUUUCAUCUGUGGAAUUACCCUGGUGCUGAUGUCCAACUCUUUGGUGAGGGAUUAGUCAGUUGGACAUCAACCUGCUACUUCGUUUAUACACCAUUCUUGACCAACCUCGCACGGUGGCUGAAGUCUGCAACAGCUGAAGCUGAGGACAGUGAUCAAGUAGUUCAAUAGAGAGCUUUAUCAAGCAGCAGAUAAGAAUGAUUGGUAGAGGAUCUUGCAGAAGAUCUCUCUCCCUACAUCUAUCACUCAUCAGCUGGGUUGCAUUGUCAUCAAGCAUGAAGCCUUUACCUACUCUCUGCUGCAGCCGUGAGUCAUUUGGAUCUGUUUAAUUUCACUAGGUGACAAGAUUUUGGCACACUAUCAUGAUGCAUCAGCGGGGAUCUGGACUCCUAGACCAGAUCGAGCAAGAAUUUUAAGUCCAAAGAGUAGUUAAUUAGGGAUAUUAAGUUCAUUUCCUAAGAGAACAGGAGGUUCAAGAACCUUUUCCAAAUCAGGCCAGGAGAAAUUGGCGUGUGUUUGGGGUAGGAAAAAAGGUCGAACAAUAUCUCCCAGCCACUUUUAAUUGCAACAGAAGUCUACAGUGAUUUCAGCAGAACAUUGUCCAAGACAAAAUUUUUAAGUUGAUAGCGUACC